AACUUAGUUAGUCAAGUCCCUGUUGAAGUCCGUCAAACUGUACGCUACGAAUCAUCCCUAUCAGUUUGACAAAUCCUCUUGGUCAGUUAAUCAGAUAACCCCACUUCCGAUCUCCAGUGAUGUAACACUUCCCGCCACUAAACAGCAUCUCUUUGUGUGAUCAUAUUUCACAAGGAGUGACCGCUACUACGUAUACGCGCGCAGUCUUUUCAAUAGAUCAGCACACCCCUCUCUAAAGGAAGCUUAUUUCGUCGACGAAGUAUACAAUUAGUAAAAAGAAGUGCCUGCUUACGAGGAAUUCCAUAUAUUUUCAAGGAAAAGAUGUAUGUUUUGAAAAGUGUUGAAAGUGACAUGCAGGAGGACUAAGCAGGGAUGAAACUGAAGUACCAUGACGUCAUGACAAUCAUGGAUGAUGACUUUUGUGUUGAAAUAGAUGGGGAACAAAUCAUUCAGUGCGAUUCUUUAGUGGAUUUUUUUUUUUGCAGACUUGUCACCAUUAUAUAUGCUUUCAACUAAGCAUAUCCUAGGAAAUGGCCAAACAUUCCUCUUCAUUCAGAAAGUCAUCUUAGGACUACAUGAUGAAUUCGAAGAACUGGACAGAAAGCUCUCGUCGGUGGUGUCCGAAAUAACUAGGGCGAUGAAUGAUGUUUUUUGGACUUUAUAAUAGGCAGAAUAUCAUUUUUAAAGGGAUUCUUGAGCGUUAAAAAAUGCUCAUAUUCAUCUAGAAACUAGAUAACAGUCUGGAAACAGAAAACUUGAUCCUGAAAAGAGAUACAGGUGGUAAUUUUAUUUGAUCCUGAAGUCUCUACAGGUGGUAGGUUUCUGUGAAGGGCUGAGAUUAAUUAUUGCCUUUUGCUAUUUUUAAUUAGCUUAUAUCAAAAAUGAAAACAAAUCACAUUAUUGCAUACAUAAAAUCCUGUGUAUCUUGGAAAAUGAAUGACAUAUUAUUAUGUUAAAUGUUUAUGCUGCUAUGUGUCCCAAGAUGUUGAAAGAGGCACACCUUUGGAAUAAAGUUGAAUUAUCUACAUACCAAAGAAAAUCACAUCUUUUUAUUAUUCAUAGUAAUUUGUAUAUAUUAUAACUAAGAGAUUUUUCAAGACAAACAUUUCAUGAUGAUGAAAUAUUUUCACUAGAUCAAUUAUUAAUUUAUCAGCUGCAACUUUCUUUUUUCGCCUGAUCUUUUACACAAGUGACAGACAUUACUUGGUCAAUAAGGUGAUCUCCCGUGGUUAAUAGUGUAAUAGUUAUUUGUCAAGGUACGAUUUCAAUAAUUUCAUCAGAAUCAGAACUUAUUUAACAUCAGUACUUCGUCAAAGUGACAUUAUUGCUUCGUCAAAGUGACAUUGUUACUUCGUCAAAGUGACAUACUUACUUCGUCAAAGUGACAUCAUUACUUCGUCAAAGUGACAUCAUCACUUCGUCAAAGUGACAUACGUACUUCGUCAAAGUGACAUCAUUACUUCGUCAAAAUGACAUUGUUACUUCGUCAAACUGACAUUGUUACUUCGUCAAAGUGACAUAUGUACUUCGUCAAACUGACAUCAUUACUUCGUCAAAGUGACAUUGUUACUUCGUCAAAGUGACAAGGAUCACAUCGUCAAAGUGACGACUUUGGUUCCUCAACUUUACUAUUUGACCAGUCAUUUUAAGGACAAUCAACUUGACGAAUUAAAUUUGUCAAACUGACAAACUAUUUUUUUC